UGGGGGGGUUGGUUGUGUCCGUCCUGAACUCUCAUUUAAGUAGUUUCAGAAAUGGAUCCACUGAGCACAUACAACGGCGUCAACAUUUCUCUCAUGAAGGCAACGGAGACUCUGAACACAGGUGUUCAUUACAUGGAUGGGGAGUGUUCAUCACAUGGGUGGGGACUGCAGUUUCCCAUGAAACGCACCUAAACCAGGAGAAAAUGACACAUGAUACACCUAACUGCAGUAGCAGCACUUCCACGAUGAGAAGGGCACAACUACGAGAGUGCAUGUGAGAUCAGAGAACCCACCACUGUCCAUCCUGAGUGUCCUUCCCUCUGCUGUGACCCCUACUCCCAGGGAGGACUCAGAGAAGUUUACAAAAGCUCCAAGUGAAAUGCAAAUCAAGAGCAAAGCCUAAAUUUAAUUCAUUCGAUGUUCUGUGCACUACUAGACAGAUGAAGUUCGGAUAAAGGACAGGUCUGCAUAUCAAGGCCUUGAGUUUCACCCAGCAACUGGAUGAUGUGAUGUGGGGUCUCAGAAAGAAGACGAUCCCUCUGCUGGAUGGCAGUGUCGUCAGACAGACUGUCACAGAGAUGUGAUGCUCACCUACGAGCCAUUCAGGACCUAGAAGAAACGGCUGUUAGACGUUGUGUGUGUCUAAUUCCAAUGUGAGCAAUUCACUUAUUCUUGCUGGUGAAACAAGCUGCUGGAACAGUAAGAUUUAUAGCAUAGCUUUUUCCCCCUCAAGAUCCUAAAACUGGAUCUGGCUUAUCCAGAGAUCCCUGAAAUCUGGAAGUCCGUGGCUGAUUCUGCAGAGAGGUUGGAGUUGAAAGGUGCACCCCCAUGACAAGGACUGGUUUCAGAUCUGGGUCUAGAUUUCAGCAUUUCCUGAGCUCCACCCGUGAUCAUGGCAGCUCUCUCUUAUUCACAUGUGGCACUGAUUCUGACAUCAACACCAAGCACAUUCUGAGGUCACCAAAGUUCCCCAGUUUCCCUGGAAGACUGAAAAGCAGUCCUGGGAGAAGACAGCUCUCCAGAACCCGGGGACUGAGGGCUUGCUUGUCAAGUCAGCUGCAGACAGAAUCUAGAGACAGACCCAGCAGAGGGCUGAGAGGAAGCAGUUAUGGACACACACAACAUGGUAAAAUCUCUAAAACUGGAGACAGUAAAAGCAUCAGUAAAUAGAGGAUUUUCCUUUUUCUUAUAGACAGGUAUGAAUAAGGUUAAGUAUUGGGUUAAGUUCGUCCAGGUUAUUCCCAAUGGGUAAGUGGGUGGUGGCCCCCGCAGGACGGGCCCAGACACAUAAGCCAUUCAAAGGAUGCUCAACAGGUAACACAGGGAAGCCUGCGGGCUUGAGGCAGCUGUUUGCUAGACGGCGAUAUCUGAGUAAGGAUCUUAGUCCAAACGUUUAUGAGCAAAUGCGCAGGGAUUUCUUUGGUGCAGUUAUAACAUUACACUGAGACAGCUGCAGUUCCCAAAGGUAUGUCAUUCUUUUGAAAAGAAUAAGUUUCAUAAGAAUAAUGCCAUUUCUUGUUCUGAAGAUUAUAUAACCAGGAACAUAAAAGGAUGCAGAGACAAGCGUGGGCCCCUUGAUACUGAGCAUAAACCAGGCCUGAGCCACAGGACAGGCAUGCAGUUAUCAGGGAUGCCCGGCCCCGUCCCUUCCUUAGACGGCCACAUUAAUGACUCAUCUAUUAGCCAUUAGAUGUGUGCGCACGCACAUGUGCACAUGUGUCCAGAGACAGGGAGGGAAAGAGGAAAGGGAAAAGAAAGCGAAGGUUCCGGCCUGCCCCACCUCCACUCAGAUCACAGCAGGUCCCUUGAACAUGGGGACCAGAGACCGCCCUGGAGCUUCUGCACUGCACUGUCCAGCGCUGAAGACACAGACCGCUUUUCCAGAGAACUCAUCAGACUUCCUGAACUGCACAUUUCACAACAUUCAGAAUGCUGACAGACCCCAAUUUCCUCCUGAGACACCACUUCCUACUGCCCUUCAGGAGGCCAUCAGCCACUCACUGCUGACCUUCACACAGAUGCCUCCAUUUGACACGUUUGUCACAACCACCAGCUUCUCAAGAACCCUCACAACCCCAGCGGCUCCUGUGUGUUGUCUGCAGGCGAGUGCUCCCCAUCCUAGAGGACUACUUCGCCUAAGAAGGGCAGCCCCGACUGGAUGAUGGUGGGAGACAAGUCGUCGUAGCUGUUCAUCAGGCUGAUGUCUCCAGAGGUGAAGCUGACGGUCACCAGGAACACCCUGCUCUCUCUGAAAGGCAAGUUGCAAUCUCCUUCAAAUUGCCCCACUGCUUCUGAGGAGGGGAACUGGUUAGAAUGUAGCUGGGAACUAAUGCUGCUCUUAGACUUCAUCUGGACGUGCUCCAUCACCUUGGUCUCUGGACCCUAUUUCUCCCCUAGUAAGAGGGGAAAAGCAAGUGUGCAUUCAACGCAGUCCCCAGUCCUCACAACACCCCAGGGACGGAAACAGCCGUCAGUCUCUUUCUGCGUCUAGGAAAACCAGUGGAGGGCCAAGCCACCAGACCAGUGAUUCUGCGAAAAGGGAUGGCAGCGAGGUGACGGUCCGUCCAGGUCAGAGACUGGGUCGGCUCUGCCCUGCAUUCUGCUGAGAACCCCGCCCGGAAGGCGGGGUAGUUCCAGGACAUGCUGAGGAUGCCGUCCGACUCGUGCAGGAGGAUGUGGGCCAGCAUCCGGCCGUGGCAGUCCAUGACGAUCACCUGCCCAUCGGCGGUGCCAAACAGUACCUGCAGCAGAGGAGCGGAACCCCUGAUGGGCGGGCAGCGAGGACAGCGGUUGUGGCCCCACCCCACCUCAACGUAUUCACAGGAGAGAAUACCUGAGAACUGGAAGAAGAGAUCAGUUAAGCAAUAGGGAUACACAAAGCAUAAAGUGGCGGAAACUUAGCUGGCUCUUACUAAGAGAAUUUUAGGCCUCUAUUAGCGAAAGGGGACUAGUGCUGUAAUACAUAUGUUAUGUGGACGCUUUCAAAUAAUGUCAAAAUUACCAUGUCACAUUUUGUGGGUUGCUUUUUUUUUUUUUUCAACUGGAGGAGCGGGGGUCAAGAAGAAGGUAAUAUUCUCUUAUUUUUCUUUAAAAAAAAAAAAAAGCAGUAGCAGAGGAUCAUCGUAUGCAAGUGUAUGUAAGCAGGUUUAUCUUGUGUUCCAUUUCACUGAGAAUAGUAAUGGGGUUGAUGUAUUUAAGUAAUAAUGUUAUAGUAAAUUAAUGGUAUUAAUAUAUUAAGUGCUUACUUUGUACUAAGCACAAUUUUAACAAACUUUACCUCAUCGACUGUCUGAAUAAUUCUGGCAGCUAAGCCCCAGCACUGCUGGCAUGAAGCUGAGAUGCCUUGUGUACUGAGG